rnacentral:sRNA from 1 species
AGCUCAUAGCUUAUAUUCUGUGCAGCAGAGUUAGGGUUUGGAUCAUCAAACAAUUCCUGGAUGCCUAUAAGAAUUUGCCUCACUGUAAUUGAAGUUUCAGCUUACGGUACUCAAGAUUGAUAGGCAUACUGCCCCAGAGUCAUAGACAUUGAUGUGGAAGAAACCCGAUGGGAACUUGCAAGAAGGAGCGUUGGUUGGAUAGUCUUCAGUGAAUUGCAUAGUAAGUGGGAAAUAUCCACCCUCCCAAUCAGUCCCUUCUUUGCCGGGGAUGAUGCAUCGCCAGACCAUGAGGUUGACGGACCCAUCCGGCAGGGUCUCCGGCUUGGCCACGAAGCCAUGGGGGUGGUUCUUGCGCCACGCCUUGCGCUCCUCGGCGAGGCGGGCGCGGGCGAUGCCUCC